rnacentral:misc_RNA from 1 species
AAUCUGUAAUGGAAUGAGAGAGGGAGAUAUUAUUGAAUGAAUUGGAUGGUAAACGUAUUAUCUACAACGUGAAAAAUGUCUAGAAAAGUCGCUACUUGGGCCACUUGGGGACUGAACUUUGAAGUUGUCACGUGUCAGUUUUGCACUUGCAACCAAGGAAAUCAGACUAAAGCAAAGAAGGGGAAAGGAAAUUUUAAAUGGUCAUUUGAG